AUUGAACGCUGGCGGCGGGCCUAACACAUGCAAGUCGAGCGAGCGGCGGACGGGUGAGUAAUGUCUGGGAAACUGCCUGAUGGAGGGGGAUAACUACUGGAAACGGUAGCUAAUACCGCAUACCAUCAGAUGUGUCCAGAUGGGGUGAGCUAGUAGGUGGGGAAAAGGCUCACCUAGGCGACGAUCCCUCGCUGGUCGGAGAGGAUGACCAGCCAAACUGGAACUGAGACACGGUCCAGACUCCUACGGGAGGCAGCAGUGGGGAAUAUUGCACAAUGGGCGCAAGCCUGAUGCAGCCAUGCCGCGUGUAUGAAGAAGGCCUUCGGGUUGUAAAGCACUUUCAGCGGGGAGGCGUUACCCGCAGAAGAAGCACCGGCUAACUCCGUGCCAGCAGCCGCGGUAAUAC
rnacentral:rRNA from 1 species